rnacentral:piRNA from 1 species
GAAGACCAAAGCUAUGUCAGAUGGCAGUGCC